GUGUCAGCAGCCGCGGUAAUACGUAGGGUGCGAGCGUUAAUCGGAAUUACUGGGCGUAAAGCGUGCGCAGGCGGUUCGCCAAGUCAGGUGUGAAAUCCCCGGGCUUAACCUGGGAAUUGCGCUUGAAACUAGCGGGCUUGAGUGCGGCAGAGGGGGGUGGAAUUCCACGUGUAGCAGUGAAAUGCGUAGAGAUGUGGAGGAACACCGAUGGCGAAGGCAGCCCCCUGGGUCGACACUGACGCUCAUGCACGAAAGCGUGGGGAGCAAACAGGAUUAGAAACCCCAGUAGUCC
rnacentral:rRNA from 1 species